ACCAGCGAAAAAAGACCUACGAAAAAAGAACUACGAAAGAAAAAACAACGACAAAAAAUCAGGCGACUCGCACGAGCGAGGCCUCUAGAUCCCGUCACCACCGCCCGACGCCGCCAGCCCCGUCCUCCUCCCUGGCUCCCGGCGCCGCCCGCCCCCAUCUCCUGUUGCGAUCCUGGCGUCGCCCCGCCCCACCUUCUCCCUCACUCCCAGCGCUAACUAUCGAUCCCCUCAACGACACAGAGCCGCCGUCCUCUCAUGCGAUCUCACUGCCGCCACCCUCCGAUCCGCUCCUCCUCUCCCGAGGAUACGCAGCCGCAUCCGCCGAUGCCGAUCCGGGUAGGCGCGGCCGUCGUGGAUCACGAGGAUCCGGAUGAUGGGGUGGCAGAGAUGGCCACGGAUCUGUUACGGCGACGACGGCGCCUGAUCCGCACCCGCAGCAUCCGGAUGGAGGCCGGCGACAAACCCUAGCCUAGACGUCAGCAUCGGGAUCCAACCCCUGCUCUCGGUGCUGGGGCUAGGCAUACGGGGGUGCUUGCUGCCGCGGUGGACCUCGACGCCGGCGACAUCUGCAUCAUCUCCCUCCCGUCGGGCUGCAGGACCUAUAUGCCCAAGCGGUAGUGAUGGAUCUAGUAUGAGGAUAAACUGGCGAAUAAUCCAGCGGUCGGAUGAGGAUAAAUGUGCGGCUACAAACUCUGGUCCUCGCCGGCGUCGUGGUCGGAGGCCACGUUGGAGGCCACGUUGACCCUACCUCUGCAUCUAGCGGUGCCGGGUUCUUCCCGUUGCUGCACCACCUCGCGGCCGAGGGAGACCAGGCGCUGGCGUGACCCCACUCCCGCUGCUGUUUUGUCUCUUCAGAUAAUCCAUAUCAGCCCGACACGAAGGAUGAGCAUGUGAGGAUUAAGGAUGCAGGAGGCAAGGUCAUCCGAUGUAAUGGUUACCAAGUGUAUGAAAUACUUGUCAAAUGUGGCUCAGUGAUAGAAUUAAGAAUGAAGGAGGAAGAUACCAGCACAAUCCCCAGCAAUAAAGACUGCGGCAAGGGCGACGACAGUGUGUCUCGGCGAGCGUGAGCAAUGGCAGCAUCAUCUCCGACUCCGAGUACCUGACCAAGACGCUGUCCAGGUCACACGUCGAGGACUUCCUCCUGGACGAUGCCGCCUCCUUGGUUGUUGUUGUCGUCUCCUCAAAUAAGUCGUAUCAGCGCAUUUAGGCUCUGGUCAACAAGUGGACGGACAGGUUGUCCAUUCUUGUUGUUCUUGCGUGUCAAGAUUCUUGGCUGCAGACUUGCAGUUCUGCAGAUACACCAUGAUUGCAGCAGGUGUUGGAAGAAAUCAUCCGAUGGUCGUAACUGACGAAGGAAGUGCUUUGUAUACGGACAAGCUGGGGACGAGUUCACUAAGGAGUGGGACUAAGGUGUCACCACUCCCCUGCCUUGUUACUAAAGCAACUAAUGUUGUUUGUGGUGCUGACUUCACUAUCUAACUUUCAUCGGUUGAGGGAUCUUCCGUACUGUAUGGCCUUCCUGAAACUAUGAAACUUAAAGAUUAGCACGCUCUUUUUUCUUUCAGAUAAAGCAAAAGGCUUUGAUCAUCUUCUCAUGAUAAAAUGUUUAGAUAAUUAUCUGCUUUGGUUGUUAUUAGUGGGGUUUUCCUACGUCAUUUCUUUGAAGAUGUAUUUAGUUCUUCUGUGCUAUUCAGUACAUCAGGACUUCCUCGGUAUGGCUAACUUGGUCAUGGAAGCGAUAAUCAGGUUGGUUGCUACAAUGUUAACACACGACACCUACUAAAUUUGCAACACUAGAGGCGGGGACUCCUAGACCUAUGCUAAUUGACUUAAUUAAUUAUUAUUAUUGUUCGUUAGGCGUCCAAACAGGCAGCUGAGCGUUGGACAUGGCCUUAUGCCUCCGAAUAAUAUGUUCAUACACCAUAAGUUCUUUGCAAUAUUCAUACACCCAAUUCAGUACUAUUUUCCAUAUUUUAACUUUACGUACAGUUUUUAUUAUCUGCUGUUAAUUAUAAGUACCAAUCAAAACUGUUAAUUAUAAGGCCAUAGCAUAGCCCUAUAUUUAUUGUGUUCAGUGACCUUUUUUAUGAAAAUCAUUGCUACGAGUCACCAUUUCAUAAUUGGUGUUCAUAUCCUAAUCCUUUUGUAUUUGCAAGAUCACUCCUUAAUGUUAAGAGGGGAGGGAUGAUUUUAAGGAUAUUUUUGUAAAAGGAGGACAUUGACAAAAACAUUGAAUACAAGGAGCUUGCAACCAUGAUGGAAUGAAUCUUUGCGUGGUAGCCUGCUUGCCGCCAAGAUAGUUAGCCCCUGAGCUCCUGAAGAAAGGACAGUUGAAGGAAAUGAAAGAAGCGAACACAAAGGAUCCUACACCAAAGGAUGAAGAGGUCGAGGAAGUGAUGGAAGGGGGUGCGUGGAGGAAGACAGGUGCAUGGUGGAAGCUGGCGUGAUGGCUGCGAAGGUCAAAGGAGAGAAGGCUAGCACUGGACUUAUUUUGGAGUCUCUUGAUAGGCACAUCGCACAUCAACCUUGGGUGAUUUAAGUUGGAAGAAUCCAAUCAAGACUUGACAUGGAGUGACAAUGCCCUCCUAUCAAGGGGACAUCAAAUACCGAGGGAAAAUCUCUCUCAAAUAAUAGAAUAUAGUUGUUUUGUUCCAGUACAACUUUCUUUCGUUUUCAUCCUUGCUUCGAUGUAGAUAGUAUGAGGACAGAGAUUACAAGACACCUGACAAUAAAUUAUUUAUUAGAUUUGGAAACAUAAUCUGAGAAGUAAGGGCAUCUAAAGUGCUUCCCCUAAAAUUUAACUCCUCAAAAGGCCCUCCAAAUUCU